rnacentral:tRNA from 1 species
GCCUUCGUGGUGUAGCGGUCAGCACGCUCGAUGUGUAAUCCAGAGGUCCGUGGUUCGAGUCCCGGCGAGGGCA